rnacentral:rRNA from 1 species
UAGGGAAUCUUCCACAAUGGACGCAAGUCUGAUGGAGCAACGCCGCGUGAGUGAAGAAGGUUUUCGGACCGUAAAGCUCUGUUGUUGGUGAAGAAGGAUAGAGGUAGUAACUGGCCUUUAUUUGACGGUAAUCAACCAGAAAGUCACGGCUAACUACGUGCCAGCAGCCGCGGUAAUACGUAGGUGGCAAGCGUUGUCCGGAUUUAUUGGGCGUAAAGCGAGCGCAGGCGGAAGAAUAAGUCUGAUGUGAAAGCCCUCGGCUUAACCGAGGAAUUGCAUCGGAAACUGUUUUUCUUGAGUGCAGAAGAGGAGAGUAGAACUCCAUGUGUAGCGGUGGAAUGCGUAGAUAUAUGGAAGAAUACCAGUGGCGAAGGCGGCUCUCUGGUCUGCAACUGACGCUGAGGCUCGAAAGCAUGGGUAGCGAACAGGAUUAGAUACCCUGGUAGUCCAUGCCGUAAACGAUGAGUGCUAAGUGUUGGGAGGCUUCCGCCUCUCAGUGCUGCAGCUAACGCAUUAAGCACUCCGCCUGGGGGAGUACGACCGCAAGGUUGAAACUCUAAAG